GAGUCAUAGGUCGGAACACAGUCAACGACCCUCCAGAAUACCUGAAAAACUCAGAACACUAAUCAAACACUCGAACCUUACAAUUUUCUAAAGUUCAGUGUGUUACAAUUUUUCUAUCUCCUUUUUUUAUCGUCUCUAACCCCUUAAAUAGAACUUCUAUUUGUUGCCUAGGUGGAUGAGUGGGAAGAUUUUUUUGUACGUAGUGGGUGAGUGGGAGAGGUUUCCUUUUAUACGUGGUGGGUAAGUAGGAAGGGUUUUUUUUUUUUUUUUGACAUGGUGGGUGAGUGGGAAAUUCAUGAGAGGAUUUCUUUUAUUGUUGUUGCGGGGCCCCCACAAGAGAUACUCCUCUCUUUUAAAAUAAUAAUAAUAAUAAUAAUAAUAAUAAUAAUAAUAAUAAUAAUAAUAAUAAUAAUAAUAAUAAAGAUUGUGGGCCCCACGUAGGAGAUAUGAUAG
rnacentral:lncRNA from 1 species